AUUGAACGCUGGCGGCAUGCCUUACACAUGCAAGUCGAACGGCAGCACGGGUGCUUGCACCUGGUGGCGAGUGGCGAACGGGCGAGUAAUACAUCGGAACAUGUCCUGUAGUGGGGGAUAGCCCGGCGAAAGCCGGAUUAAUACCGCAUACGAUCCACGGAUGAAAGCGGGGGACCUUCGGGCCUCGCGCUAUAGGGUUGGCCGAUGGCUGAUUAGCUAGUUGGUGGGGUAAAGGCCUACCAAGGCGACGAUCAGUAGCUGGUCUGAGAGGACGACCAGCCACACUGGGACUGAGACACGGCCCAGACUCCUACGGGAGGCAGCAGUGGGGAAUUUUGGACAAUGGGCGAAAGCCUGAUCCAGCAAUGCCGCGUGUGUGAAGAAGGCCUUCGGGUUGUAAAGCACUUUUGUCCGGAAAGAAAUCCUUGACUCUAAUACAGUCGGGGGAUGACGGUACCGGAAGAAUAAGCACCGGCUAACUACGUG
rnacentral:rRNA from 1 species